AGAGUUUGAUCCUGGCUCAGGAUGAACGCUGGCGGCGUGCUUAACACAUGCAAGUCGAACGAAGCACUUUGAUCGAUUUCUUCGGAUUGAAAUUUUAGUGACUGAGUGGCGGACGGGUGAGUAACGCGUGGGUAACCUGCCUCACACAGGGGGAUAACAGUUGGAAACGGCUGCUAAUACCGCAUAAGCCCACAGCUCGGCAUCGAGCAGAGGGAAAAGGAGCAAUCCGCUUUGAGAUGGCCUCGCGUCCGAUUAGCUAGUUGGUGAGGUAAUGGCCCACCAAGGCGACGAUCGGUAGCCGGACUGAGAGGUUGAACGGCCACAUUGGGACUGAGACACGGCCCAGACUCCUACGGGAGGCAGCA
rnacentral:rRNA from 1 species